CGUGAAAGGGGCUUCGGCCCUGAGUAAAGUGGCGCACGGGUGAGUAACACGUGGAUAAUCUACCCGAUGGACCGGGAUAACACUUCGAAAGGGGUGCUAAUACCGGAUAACCCCACAGGCUCUUUGGAGCCUGCGGGAAAAGGUGGGGACCUUCGGGCCUACCGUCAUCGGAUGAGUCCGCGGCCCAUUAACUAGUUGGUGGGGUAAUGGCCUACCAAGGCAACGAUGGGUAGCUGGUCUGAAAGGAUGAUCAGCCACACUGGAACUGAAACACGGUCCAGACUCCUACGGGAGGCAGCAGUGGGGAAUUUUGCGCAAUGGGCGAAAGCCUGACGCAACAACGCCCCGUGAGUGAUGAAGGCCCUCGGGUCGUAAAGCUCUGUCCUAGGGGAAGAAACUUUUGGGGGAGAAUAUCCCUUGAAACUGACGGUACCCUCAAAGGA
rnacentral:rRNA from 1 species